ACAAGGCCCAACCGUCAAAACCGCCUCAGUGAUGCGCUGGUCCAAAGCACGCACUUAACGCUCAAUCCUGGUGUCGCGUCCCGUUGCCAGGCAACGAAGGCAAGCGCUGCAAAGACGAAGGGGAGCGCCCAAGGAUGAGGAACAUUCCAAGACACUGAGUGAUUUGCUGAAAAUCACACAUCUAGAUGCAAAGCCAGAAUGCGAGCAGUGACCACCACACUUGACAAAUCUGUUGUUGCACACAUUUGUACUCUUCAAUCAACAAAACCUGAUGCAAAAAACAGAAAAGGGGGAGAUGUACAUGCAUUUUCCCUCACUGCAAAAAAAAACACAACUUGUUUAACUACAGGUGUAUUCCUGGUGGUUUUUGAAUGAAGACAUUGACAGAAAGUAACAUAGCAUGCUGGUUAAAGACUGUUUUUAUUCGAAUCCUGGCUUUGCCAAUCAACAGCUGCAUAAAUUAAACUCUCGACCUCAGCUCCCUUAUUUGUAAAACAAGAAUAACAAAAAUACAUUUUUAUAAGGUUGGGUUGAAGGUUAAAUGAAAUAACUGAAGAUUAUCUCUUCACUAAUUUUAGCUGUAGAAAACAGAAGCCAAUCGAAAGAGCUCCCAGUCCAAAGCUGGAACAACUUGAACAACAAAAUAAAUAAUGUAGCAUUGGAUUACAAACCAACCAUGAAACAAAUAUCCAUGAGUCUAUACUGAUGUCAAUAAAUGAAUAAAUGAAUAAAUGUGGGAAAAUAGACAAA